UAGUCCUAGCCGUAAACGGUGCACGCUUGCUGUGAGCGGAUUCGACCCCGUUCGUGGCGAAGCUAACGCGUUAAGCGUGCCGCCUGGGGAGUACGGUCGCAAGAUUAAAACUCAAAGAAAUUGACGGGGGCCUGCACAAGCGGUGGAGUAUGUGGCUUAAUUCGAUGCAACGCGAAGAACCUUACCUGGCCUUGACAUGCAUCUCUAAGUCGGUGAAAGCCGGCGAGGUAGCAAUACCAAUUUGCACAGGUGCUGCAUGGCUGUCGUCAGCUCGUGUCGUGAGAUGUUGGGCUAAGUCCCAUAACGAGCGCAACCCUUAUCCUUAGUUACCAGCAUUGAGUUGGGGACUCUAGGGAGACUGCCGGUGUUAAACCGGAGGAAGGCGGGGAUGACGUCAAGUCCUCAUGGCCCUUACGGGUAGGGCUACACACGUACUACAAUGGCAGAAACAAACCGAAGCGAUAUUGCGAGAUGGAGCUAAACGGUAAAACACUGUCUCAGUCCGGAUUG
rnacentral:rRNA from 1 species